rnacentral:lncRNA from 10 species
AAAUAGGUAACUAUAUCAACAUCAUAAAAAAUGCUGCCACAUUUUUUUCGAGAAAGAAAUACUCUCUAUACAUAUUGUUAAACCUUUCUGCAUACUAUCUAAAACAGGGUAUAGAUUCAAUAACAUCCCUAUGAAAAUCCCAAUGGCAAGUUUUUACAAAAAUUGAAAACAAUUAUAAAAUUCAUAUGGAACCACAAAUGACCCUGAGUAACCAUAGCAAUCUUGUGAAAGAAGAACAAAGAUGAAGGCAUAACACUAGCGGG